GGUCGCGUAGCUCAGCUGGUAGAGCAGUUGACUUUUAAUCAAUUGGUCGCAGGUUCGAUCCCUGCCGCGAUCA
rnacentral:tRNA from 1 species